CCUACGGGAGGCAGCAGUGAGGAAUAUUGGUCAAUGGGCGGGAGCCUGAACCAGCCAAGUCGCGUGAGGGAAGACGGUCCUAUGGAUUGUAAACCUCUUUAGGCGGGGAGCAAUGCCGGGCACGCGUGCCCGGAGGGAGAGUACCCGCAGAAUAAGCAUCGGCUAACUCCGUGCCAGCAGCCGCGGUAAUACGGAGGAUGCGAGCGUUAUCCGGAUUUAUUGGGUUAAAAGGGUGCGUAGGCGGAUUUUUAAGUCAGCGGUAAAAUGUCCGGGCUCAACCCGGGCCGGCCGUUGAAACUGGGGAUCUUGAGUGGGCGAGAAGUAUGCGGAAGGCGUGGUGUAGCGGUGAAAUGCAUAGAUAUGAAGAAGAACACCGAUGGCGAAGGCAGCAGAGCGGCGCCCGACUGACGCUGAGGCACGAAAGCGUGGGGAGCGAACAGGAUUAGAUACCCUUGUAGUC
rnacentral:rRNA from 1 species